rnacentral:tmRNA from 1 species
GGGGUCGACUGGUUUUGACAGCAAGUCGAAUUGAACAGUAAGCACGUCGAGAACGGAGACAAAUCUCGUAAAUCCAUGUCUCAAAACUUUACACGGCGAAGGAAACUACGCUCUUGCUGCAUAAUCUGAAUUAAAGUAAGAUUAGCCACGUCCUACCAGGUAGGAAAGUGAGAUUCACCUCGAAAGCCUUGGUUCUUGGCGGUCGGUUUAGGUGAAUCGUAAAUAGGAACCUAAGCAUCGUUUGGCUUCGAGACGGUGACGAAAAAUAAAGAAGAUAAGCGUUUGGUGGUUGUUCCUGUCCUAGCCCAACGUCGAAAAUUCAAACAGGGAAUAAACGCGUAGAAAGCUCUUUAGUUGCUUGUUUGGACGGGAGUUCGACUCUCCCCGACUCCACUA